CAACUUUCAGCAACGGAUCUCUUGGCUCUCGCAUCGAUGAAGAACGCAGCGAAAUGCGAUAAGUAAUGUGAAUUGCAGAAUUCAGUGAAUCAUCGAAUCUUUGAACGCACCUUGCGCUCCUUGGUAUUCCGAGGGGCAUGCCUGUUUGAGUGUCAUUA
rnacentral:rRNA from 1 species